CUGGUGUUCAGAAACAAAACAACGUAGAUAUUGCUCAAUUUUUUGGUUAGUGCGUUCGGCUGCUCCGUUAGAUUGAGGAUGAUAGGCCGAAGAAAAAUUCAGUUUGAUGCCCAACUGUGAACAGAAGGAUCUCCAAAAACGGGAAAUAAAUUGGGAACCCCUGUCUGACACAAUCUCAUUGGGAAUACCAUGUAAACGGAAAAUUUCUCUAGCAAAUAUCACGGCCAGUUCGGGGGAGGACGGAAGUUUAGGCAAGGGAACGAAAUGAGCCAUUUUAGUAAAC